rnacentral:rRNA from 1 species
CUACGGGGGGCAGCAGUGAGGAAUUUUCCGCAAUGGGCGAAAGCCUGACGGAGCGACGCCGUGUGGGUGAUGAAGGCCUUCGGGUCUUAAAGCCCUGUCAGCAGGAAAGAUAUUGACGGUACCUGCAGAGGAAGCCCCGGCUAACUACGUGCCAGCAGCCGCGGUAAGACGUAGGGGGCAAGCGUUGUCCGGAAUUAUUGGGCGUAAAGUGCAUGUAGGCGGCUUUGUAAGUCAGAUGUUAAAUCCCCCGGCUUAACCGGGGUCCGCAUUUGAUACUGCAAAGCUCGAGAAAUGUAGAGGAAAGCGGAAUUUCCGGUGUAGCGGUGAAAUGCGUAGAUAUCGGAAAGAACACCAGUGGCGAAGGCGGCUCUCUGGACAUUUUCUGACGCUGAUAUGCGAAAGCUAAGGGAGCAAACGGGAUUAGAUACCCUUGUAGUC